rnacentral:rRNA from 1 species
UGGGGAAUAUUGGACAAUGGGCGAAAGCCUGAUCCAGCCAUGCCGCGUGUGUGAAGAAGGUCUUCGGAUUGUAAAGCACUUUAAGUUGGGAGGAAGGGCAUUAACCUAAUACGUUAGUGUUUUGACGUUACCGACAGAAUAAGCACCGGCUAACUCUGUGCCAGCAGCCGCGGUAAUACAGAGGGUGCAAGCGUUAAUCGGAAUUACUGGGCGUAAAGCGCGCGUAGGUGGUCUGUUAAGUUGGAUGUGAAAUCCCCGGGCUCAACCUGGGAACUGCAUUCAAAACUGACUGACUAGAGUAUGGUAGAGGGUGAUGGAAUUUCCUGUGUAGCGGUGAAAUGCGUAGAUAUAGGAAGGAACACCAGUGGCGAAGGCGACCACCUGGACUAAUACUGACACUGAGGUGCGAAAGCGUGGGGAGCAAACA